rnacentral:rRNA from 1 species
GGGUUGUGAGGUUAAGCGACUAAGCGUACACGGUGGAUGCCCUGGCAGUCAGAGGCGAUGAAGGACGUGCUAAUCUGCGAAAAGCGUCGGUAAGGUGAUAUGAACCGUUAUAACCGGCGAUGUCCGAAUGGGGAAACCCAGUGCAAUUCGUUGCACUAUCGUUAACUGAAUACAUAGGUUAACGAGGCGAACCGGGGGAACUGAAACAUCUAAGUACCCCGAGGAAAAAAAAUCAACCGAGAUUCCCCCAGUAGCGGCGAGCGAACGGGGAGCAGCCCAGAGUCUGAAUCAGCUUGUGUGUUAGUGGAACGGUCUGGAAAGUCCGACGGUACAGGGUGAUAGUCCCGUACACCAAAAUGCACAGGCUGUGAACUCGAAGAGUAGGGCGGGACACGUGGUAUCCUGUCUGAAUAUGGGGGGACCAUCCUCCAAGGCUAAAUACUCCUGACUGACCGAUAGUGAACCAGUACCGUGAGGGAAAGGCGAAAAGAACCCCGGCGAGGGGAGUGAAAAAGAACCUGAAACCGUGUACGUACAAGCAGUGGGAGCACCUUCGGGUGUGACUGCGUACCUUUUGUAUAAUGGGUCAGCGACUUAUAUUCUGUAGCAAGGUUAACCGUAUAGGGGAGCCGCAGGGAAACCGAGUCUUAACUGGGCGUUAAGUUGCAGGGUAUAGACCCGAAACCCGGUGAUCUAGCCAUGGGCAGGUUGAAGGUUGGGUAACACUAACUGGAGGACCGAACCGACUAAUGUUGAAAAAUUAGCGGAUGACUUGUGGCUGGGGGUGAAAGGCCAAUCAAACCGGGAGAUAGCUGGUUCUCCCCGAAAGCUAUUUAGGUAGCGCCUCGUGAACUCAUCUUCGGGGGUAGAGCACUGUUUCGGCUAGGGGGUCAUCCCGACUUACCAACCCGAUGCAAACUACGAAUACCGAAGAAUGUUAUCACGGGAGACACACGGCGGGUGCUAACGUCCGUCGUGAAGAGGGAAACAACCCAGACCGCCAGCUAAGGUCCCAAAGUCAUGGUUAAGUGGGAAACGAUGUGGGAAGGCACAGACAGCCAGGAUGUUGGCUUAGAAGCAGCCAUCAUUUAAAGAAAGCGUAAUAGCUCACUGGUCGAGUCGGCCUGCGCGGAAGAUGUAACGGGGCUAAACCAUGCACCGAAGCUGCGGCAGCGACACUAUGUGUUGUUGGGUAGGGGAGCGUUCUGUAAGCCUGCGAAGGUGUGCUGUGAGGCAUGCUGGAGGUAUCAGAAGUGCGAAUGCUGACAUAAGUAACGAUAAAGCGGGUGAAAAGCCCGCUCGCCGGAAGACCAAGGGUUCCUGUCCAACGUUAAUCGGGGCAGGGUGAGUCGACCCCUAAGGCGAGGCCGAAAGGCGUAGUCGAUGGGAAACAGGUUAAUAUUCCUGUACUUGGUGUUACUGCGAAGGGGGGACGGAGAAGGCUAUGUUAGCCGGGCGACGGUUGUCCCGGUUUAAGCAUGUAGGCUGGUUAUCCAGGCAAAUCCGGAUAAUCAAGGCUGAGGUGUGAUGACGAGGCACUACGGUGCUGAAGUAACAAAUGCCCUGCUUCCAGGAAAAGCCUCUAAGCAUCAGGUAACAUCAAAUCGUACCCCAAACCGACACAGGUGGUCAGGUAGAGAAUACCAAGGCGCUUGAGAGAACUCGGGUGAAGGAACUAGGCAAAAUGGUGCCGUAACUUCGGGAGAAGGCACGCUGGUGUGUAGGUGAAGUCCCUGCGGAUGGAGCUGAGACCAGUCGAAGAUACCAGCUGGCUGCAACUGUUUAUUAAAAACACAGCACUGUGCAAACACGAAAGUGGACGUAUACGGUGUGACGCCUGCCCGGUGCCGGAAGGUUAAUUGAUGGGGUUAUCCGUAAGGAGAAGCUCUUGAUCGAAGCCCCGGUAAACGGCGGCCGUAACUAUAACGGUCCUAAGGUAGCGAAAUUCCUUGUCGGGUAAGUUCCGACCUGCACGAAUGGCGUAAUGAUGGCCAGGCUGUCUCCACCCGAGACUCAGUGAAAUUGAACUCGCUGUGAAGAUGCAGUGUACCCGCGGCAAGACGGAAAGACCCCGUGAACCUUUACUAUAGCUUGACACUGAACAUUGAGCCUUGAUGUGUAGGAUAGGUGGGAGGCUUUGAAGCGUGGACGCCAGUCUGCGUGGAGCCAACCUUGAAAUACCACCCUUUAAUGUUUGAUGUUCUAACGUUGGCCCUUACCGGGGUUGCGGACAGUGUCUGGUGGGUAGUUUGACUGGGGCGGUCUCCUCCCAAAGCGUAACGGAGGAGCACGAAGGUUAGCUAAUCCUGGUCGGACAUCAGGAGGUUAGUGCAAUGGCAUAAGCUAGCUUGACUGCGAGCGUGACGGCGCGAGCAGGUGCGAAAGCAGGUCAUAGUGAUCCGGUGGUUCUGAAUGGAAGGGCCAUCGCUCAACGGAUAAAAGGUACUCCGGGGAUAACAGGCUGAUACCGCCCAAGAGUUCAUAUCGACGGCGGUGUUUGGCACCUCGAUGUCGGCUCAUCACAUCCUGGGGCUGAAGUAGGUCCCAAGGGUAUGGCUGUUCGCCAUUUAAAGUGGUACGCGAGCUGGGUUUAGAACGUCGUGAGACAGUUCGGUCCCUAUCUGCCGUGGGCGCUGGAGAAUUGAGGGGGGCUGCUCCUAGUACGAGAGGACCGGAGUGGACGCAUCACUGGUGUUCGGGUUGUCAUGCCAAUGGCACUGCCCGGUAGCUAAAUGCGGAAGAGAUAAGUGCUGAAAGCAUCUAAGCACGAAACUUGCCCCGAGAUGAGUUCUCCCUGAGACUUUAAGUCUCCUGAAGGAACGUUGAAGACGACGACGUUGAUAGGCCGGGUGUGUAAGCGCAGCGAUGCGUUGAGCUAACCGGUACUAAUGAACCGUGAGGCUUAACCUUACAACGCCGAAG